AUCGAGCUGAUAUCCACAGAUCAGUAAAGAUAAAGAUUGUUUUUUAAAAAGACUCAAACUAAUUAUCCACGCGAAGAGUUUUGCAAGAGGAACAAAACCGUUUGGGUUCCCUUGAACGGAAAAAGUUCGCGAUCGUUUUUCGCUCGAUUGCUCAUACACUGAAAAAUCGCAAGGGCCAAAAUUCCUAGAAUAUUAAGGCACGAAAUUGAAUGGAUUUCAAUGGACGACACGUUUACUCGCCGGGGCAAAUGACAGAGCAUUUUUAUUCUGUUUUCAUUAGACUCGAUAGAUUUCAGCGGAGCGUGAUACACCGUAAAACAAGCAAUGAAAAUCGUGGCGCUUCGGCAGUGUUUUAGUGCGCGACCGAAAUAAUGAGGGGGCGGAAAAAGUGGUUGGCUGUUAGCGAAUGAUGCCCGCCGUAACAAUCGAUCCAAUCACGUGAAACUCCGUACACACUCGCUUUGUGGAACGCAGUAAAAAAGGGGAUCGAUCGCGUGUAUCGUGAAUUUGUAAAAUGUCCCGAUAUGAUAACGGCUCCUCGUCAAUGAGAUUUCAUCGAUCGAUAUGUGCGACUCCUCCGUUACACAGAGAGCUCUUUCAGCACCGAGAUUGUGAGUUCAAGACGGAGAAGGGAAAAAAGGCCGUUUGUGGAGAGAGGCGUCGAUAAGUGUGAGGAAAAAAGAUAAAUUAGGAGCCCCGGAGGGAAGAUUUAUU
rnacentral:lncRNA from 1 species